GCCCUCCUUGAUGGGUAUGCUACCAGCAGAACCAUAUUGAAGACGCUGAGCUAGUAGGAUAGCGCUCGCAGAUCUGGCCGCCUGCCGUCGGCUUCGUCCCUAAUUCGGGCAAGACGACGAUGAAGAGUUUGUGUAACGGGGUUUGAUUCCAUCCCUCUCUAUAUCUCUCUUCUCGUGUCGAGUUCUUGCUGCGUCUGCUUGGCACUUUGCAGGUGGUCGACGACGCGACGGGACGGGGCGUGGUGGUGAACUGGUGAUGGUGGUGUGGCUGACAGAAGAGAGUGAGCACGCAGCGGCCAGACUGGAUCUAAAUACGGCUGCUUCUGGAGAGAUAAAGACGAUGGAUAGAUGAAUGCCUAGACGCAGCUGCUGUUGCGUGCUCACUUCUCUUUCUGUCAGCUCUCUCGCUCCCUCCUUGGCACUUGCUUCGCCACAUCCAGCUCCCCGACCGUCUCCGUCGCUUCUCACCAAUCGCGUCGUGCAGCCGUUCUUGCAUCGAUCUCCGAGAUGCACUGUUCGUUUUGCUGCGCCGGCCUGGCCGUGUCCCCACCUGAAACCUUAUCUUGUCUCCCACACGGAUUCCGAUGGCCUGCUCUGUGGAACAAGUACUCUUAAAUUUUAUGGCAGCCGCUGCGCGCAUGCAGGCAUGGAUUCUCGCGCUGGGCAAUUUCUCUACGUUUCUUUUCUCGGCGAUCUCCUCGUUGCCAUCUCUGUGCCUUCCGAUGAUGGAUUAUUAGCAGGGCCUUCAGCCUUGGGGGAAGAGGACGCGUGAUGGAUUAACACAGCUCUUUGGUCGCCUUCCCAGAUGUGCUUAACGGAAAGCACUGUUUGACUAGUCCUUGCUACCCUUCUCCCUUUCCUUUACUCUCUCUCUCACUUAUCGAGUGCUCUCUCCUCUCCUUUUUUUGCAAAGAUCUCACAGCAAAAAUUGCAUCUUUCUCCCUUUUGUUUUGCUCAUCUCAUGUGGGGCUCUGAGUGUCAUGAGGUUGGUGGGAGGCAGCCAUGGCGUUAGUGGUUGGAGGCAGAUCUGCUUGGUUGCAAGUGGAAAGGAGGCUACCGGCGGCGGCGCCUUCCAGAUCUGUAAAUGUUUCUUCUCCGGCGCCUUCUUUCACCUGUUUGACGUUGCGGAUGAAAUAUCUCCAAGUUUCCGGCAUCAGUUGGUAUACACAAAGCUUGUUGAAUUUGUUCAUCAUUUCAUGAAAGUGUGAUCUCAGCGAACCAGCUACUACUGCAGAGUUCAGCGCAGGUGUGCUUGCAACACAGCCAUCUGUCCUGGCAUACAAUAUGAGAGCUAUUCCAAUUCUCAUUACUCAAAGAGAUGAGCUGAUUCGUGGCGUACAAAGCUUACUGCAGUCCAUGUAUCAAGUGCUAGCUCAACAUCAACCUCCAUCAGCCCCCCUUGCUGGUCGUCUGAUGCUAUUACCGGAGGAAGAUCAACUAGAUGCUGACCAGGAAGAUGAUGAAGAGGGAAACUGAAGAACUGCGGGUUGCUUUCCAAAUUUCUCUUGAGAAUCUUUUGGUCUUUGCAGGAUGGUUUUGAGAAACUUGUAGCGCCCUUAGCUUUUGUCUGGUCUCGGUUAUGUUUUGUCCUUUAGCGUCCCUUAGCUUUUGAGAAUCCAAGGUAAUGGUUCUAUGCUCCUAUUACACUGCCACCUGUGUCGGUGUAAGAUCAUAUUGCUGUGAAUUCUGUUAAAAUCCUUAAUGGAAAUGGGAUUUCCCCGGUUCGAAAAAUAGUCAGGAACCACUUUUGUAAAGACGUUAUCACUGGUAC